GCCCUGCGCGCGUGCACGCCGAAAGAAGCUGUAUUGGAUUCGCGUCUUACAAAGUACUUGGCUCUCUCAUCCGGAGAAAGAAAAAUAUUUCUCAUCACAUAUGCGGUAGCAGCGCGCUACCGUAAUCUCUCACGUUGAGAGAUAAUGCUGAAAAACUUAACGUGCACUCUGCUCUAUGUUGCCUUUUUUCUCGUUUUUUAACAUGCUUACAAUCGUAUUAGUCACCGAGUAAUUAUUAUAGACUUGAUAAUAGGUUAAUUAAUUAACACUUUAACACUUUCAAUCGUUAAAUUAAAUCAUUUUUCAAAAAUCCAUAUUAUAAGUAGAACCUCAUAACGUGCUUUAAUCUACUGAGACUUUUGCUUUCGAGUAAUAAAGAAAAUAAAUAAUCAAUCUUGUGAUUUGCAAGAUAAAAAUGCGAAAAUUAGGGACAAGGACAGGAGAGGACAAGAUGUGAUGAUUCAACGCGGCGAGUUUAUCUUUGUUCCUUAUUUGAAAGCAACUUCGGCAACGAAUAACUAGAUCCGCCGGCGCGACGUGCUAUCAUUUUGUGCUUAGAUUCGCUAUCGCACCAAUUUGCACGUGAAUACUUUUGCGCGUGUAGUUUCGUAAAUUAUUCGCCGCCCGGAUCCACUGAAAUUUCCUGAAACUCGCUUUUCGGAUAUCCGGUUUUCCAUGCUAAUGUUGAAGCAUCGAGAACACGCGAAACUAAACUACGACGAAACCAAAGAAUAUAUAAGACUCGCAAAGGCGAACGUCUCGGCAAAAAGGCACGUGUCACUUAUUUCGGCUGCGUUCACCCCGUUUACGUUUCGUUAUCUCGGCUAAUCUCGGCUGAUCUCACAAUAUCGGUAACAUGAUGGCAAAACUUGCGAAUUGAUAAUGCUUAACGGCCCUUUUACAGCUUUAUACAGCGGAAUGAAAAUGAACAAAUCCAUUUGUUACGCAUGGGCUCAGGCUAAUCCAAUUUGAUUUUAAUAUCCGCAAUAUUGCUCGCGUUUUCUCUCACGAUAAUUUGCAUGCAACAAAACGCGGGGGCGCGCACGCGAGUGCACAGUUUCAGCAAUGUUCACAAAUUCUUUAUGAGAUAAUAAAUCUUGAAAUCUGAAAUUUACAGCCCUCUGUUCAUCGGAUGCAAAAAUGUUGCAUUUACUCUUCAUCAAGUGACACUGUCUUUUGACAAAGAGAGUUCUCGCGUCUCACUGAAUCCUCUCCAAUGAUGUAGCUAAAUAUAACUGACAUUAUAGCAGAGAGAGAAAACCACCUGUACGGGAUUGUUUUAUUCUAUCCCCCCUAUUUUUUGCUCCUUUUAACUUUCGACCUUCCAGCGCCACCACUAACCCCUCUCUUUGGGGGAAGCGAAAGUCGGAGAGUCGGAGGGACGGCCCUAUUUUCAAGGGAAUACGGAUAGGGUUCUUAAUCCCAUAAUAUAUGCGCCGUGUGACGUCAGAACAAAGGAACAGGGUACGAGAAAUGGCGGAGUCGCAACGUGUUCGACCACAAACAGAUUCCAAUGUACCUUUAACGAAACUGUAUCACGUUUACGUACAAUAAUAAGAAGCCUAUUGUACAGAGGUAACAUUUCGAAAUUGCUUUAUAAAAGUGAGUGAUGAUCCAUGUACUUUGUUGAUUGAUUUGAUGAUUGCAACGCAAAAUAUUUAUGUACUAUAAACAUUUUGCCGAAAAUAAUUUUUUAUGCGGCGCUCACGGUGCGACAAUGAGAGCCGUUUGCACGGCAGAAAGUAAUUUUCCAAAGAUGUGCGGCUCACCCUGUUAAUUUGGAUCCCCCUCCCGUGUUGUAAUUCCGCCUGAAUGAGACUGUUCUGGUAGACCGUACCGUGCCGAUAUUAUAAGAAAGUUGAGUUGCAGAAUAACGCGUUCAAAUCUUGAGGAAGCUCAUUACUGGUCGCAAUUGUCUAAUCACUGGAAGAGUAAGCCGAGCAACGAAAGAUAUAUCCCUAAAGAAGGUACUUUAGGAUUAAACAUAAACUGCUGUGAAACUAUCUAAAGGAGCGUUUAAGUCCGCGGCUUUUCUUAUCAAGUGGUCGUGGAAAAAAAGUGGUAGACAUAAACCCUCGAUUAUGGUGCAAAAUGCUAUGUCGGCUAAUCCAGAAAAAUCCUAUUAUUCCCCAAAUAUACAUCAAUACACAAAUACAUCGGGAAAGAUGUAAUAGUAACAUUGUCAAUACUCGCAAAUCCAGGCCUCAAAACGUUAUUGUUUUCGUUUCCUCGAUAAAAUCGAAAUGACAAAAUCUCGAAGCGAAAUGUGUAAUAGAGUCGAAACGGAAUGGAAAUUAAAAGAUAACGGACGUUGAAAAAGGACUUUUUACGCGACUCUAGAGUGAAAAAUGCAUAAAGGAUAGAAAAAUUGCGUAUACAUCGUGAAGCGCUGCCUAAAAGUCAUAAGUUCGAGUCAUCAUCAGUCGCCUCUUUUCUCUUUCGUUCUGUUUGUCGCAUUAAUUCGGUCUAUCAAGUCGAACGUACCGUAUCUAUAUCGCGUGCGACACGCGAAAGGUCGCGGACUCUUUAAUCGUGCUUCGAAGCUCGAACAAACUAUAAUUCGCAGAUCCUCGCGACCUCCAGAUUCGUUGCUACGCUGUGACGAUAAUUGAAAAAAAAAAAACAAUUUCCAAAAGCUAGAGCGUAUGUAACGAUAAAGCUAAUCUCUGUCGAUCCGUCAGCUGUUGCGUGGCAACAGGUGGCACUUUGUGCAAAUAAAUAAAAAAAAGAAGCAGCUUAAUCAGUUACGUGGCCUUUCGCAUUUUACACAUAAUAAAAUAUGACGCUUUGUUGCAAAAAUUUGAUAGGAAAGAAUUUGAUAGAAAAUAAAACGCGAGGUAACAAUCAUUUCCGCGUGUAUCCGAUAUCGGUUAUUUAAUUGCAGAAUUGAAAGUUGUUGAUGAAAAUGUAAAUUUUUAUGUCAUAACGUUAUAAUGUAAUGGAAAUUAUCCAAGAAUUGUGGCGCCACGUGCAAGGAGAGAUGUGGAAAAGGAGCGUAAGAAGGCGUUUUGGCGCGUUGGCGAUAUCGAAAUGUGACCUCGUCGAAAUUAUGACUGCUUUUUUUGAGGGGAUCAACGUGAAAGGAUUUUUCUCCUCGUAUGCACGUCCCCUUUAAAAGGCAUCCUAGAGUGACGUCGACAUCGACGCGCCGAAAGAAAAGCGAGUGGCAAAGCGAGGGGAGAGACCCACCCUCCGAAUGUCGAAUGCGGGAAGCGAGAAGGGCACGGAGAGACUCUCUUUCUCUCUCUCGUUAAAUAUCACGCCGAAGAACCUUUCUAUCAGGGACUUUCGAGGACAAAACGGAACGUCGGCCGUUUGCGAUAGAUAUUGUAAGAGUGGGACGGGAAUCGGCCAGGUUACGCCAUGGGGGAACGGCCAUUGUCUUCUCUCAAAGGGAAGGUAAAGACACAAGGGAGAAGGAGAGGGGUAACGGAGAAUCGGAAUUACGAUUAAAUUUUCGAUCGUUUUGCGAGGUGACAAAUAUUAUUAUUAGAGUCGCGACAGCAGAGAGAUAACGCGCUCUUUACAUUUACGUUAAAUGCGAAUGUGUGUCCUCGCGCGAUAAGAUAUUCCAUGUGUGCACGUGUGUUUAAACGCUAAAACGUUCUGAUAUUCAUCUCGCGAUGACGAGCUUCACGUGACAUCAUGAAAUACAAGUCGGUCACUUAACGAUCACUGUUACGAGGUUUUGAGAAACGAAAUUUUCUCGAAAACUCGAAAUUUAUCUCUCGACGAAGAAGAGCGAAUUUUCAAGCAUCGACUACUGAAUAAAUCAAACAAUGAUUCUUUCUUAUUGUUAUUACAUUUAUUGUUGCACAAUUUAUUAUAUUGCGAGUAGAAAGAGGAACUAUUCGAUAUAGAGAGUCAGGAGACGAGAAAAGCCGCGAUGCAGCUCUUUCAUCAGUGAUAGAUAUUGCCUCAAAGACGGAGCGUGAAAUUCGCGUGAUUCGGAUGAGUCUAUAAAAUCCGCUUAGAUCGAUCAGCAAGUCCACAAAAGAACAAUAUCAUUUAAGAGAUAUAUAAUUAUACUAAUACUCUUCGAUUUCUGUGCACAUUUCAGUCCAUUGUCGCCAUUAUCAUUGACGUUAAUGGCAACAUUUGGUAGAAAAUGCUUUCCUAUUACGAAAGAAUAGUGCAAGUAUAAUUUGAGGAGAUUUUGAUUUCUAUUGUAUUCUUGUUGCGCUCUCGCGCAAUCCUCCGGGCAUAUAUUUCGUUGUACGGAUUUAAUUAAAUUACAUAACGGCGGCCGUAACGACAAAAUAAAGUUUAAUUCCGAAUAUGGGUUUCACGAGGAGAACAUUGCCAGUAAAAAUCCUUUGUUGGCUAUCUGAGCCCGGCCAGCGGUGUAAUAAUAACUGCGGCCCGCGAUCCAAUUAAUUUCGCUGCUUUUCAACGGAAAGAAGUGGAUGUACAACGUAAAGUACGAUAACUGCGAUUAUGCUGGUAUAAGCCGGUCGACUGCAACGCAACAAAUUUGAAAAAAAUUUGAAAGCGCGAUUGCAUCUACGGUUUUCUGCAGUUCAACUUAAUCUCAAAGUUUCACUUAUCGUCUCGUCGUGUUGUGUCUCGAUGAUGUCGAUUUCGAAACGCGUGCCGACAAUGUAUUAUAUCAUAUUAAACUGAAUUUUGAUCAUAGCACACAUACAUAUUAGGAUAACAUACAUAGAGGAUAUAGAGGAUAACGGUUUCUUCUCCGCAUAUCACACGUUUUUAGGUCAGAUGAAAAACGCUCCGAACCUUGACACGAAUCCCCCGCACUCUGAAAAGCCGCUUUUAUUCCGAGUGAGCGAGAUAAAAGUGUCACAGCGCGAAACUUGUCGUGGCGCACUGUAGUUAUGCAACUUACGCAAGUACAAAAUAACCGACUUUUUGUACGUAAGUAGCGUCCCCGUUAACUUUGAGGUAACAAUAUUUUUGCGCCCCGGAGAGCUCCCGUUAUACGAAGAUACAGCAACGCCAUUAAAUAUCGCGCUCGCGUUGCUACGAGUCGAGUGGGAUGGGGAGAAUUAAAAGCUCGCGCAUAAUUCGCGGACGCGGGGGGUUACAGUCCCAUCUCGCAUUUCGCGUUUCGCAUUUCGCGGGACGUGCUCAAUCGGGCGGGGGAGGAUACGAGUUUUCAAGAAUAAUUUAUCGUGCGCGCAUACGCGCCAGUCCGAAACAGACGCGUGUUGCGGGCGUACACGCAAUUUUGCACACGAGAGCGGGAAAGAGAGCGGGGAGAUGUAAAAGCGCCGUAACAAUUAUCGGGAGGCAUUGCGCGCGUGCACUUUGGAUUUGCACUCGAACGUAAAAGCCUACAAACAAUGCUUACACCGGCAUCGUUGUGUUACAGCGACGUCGAACCGCUUUAUCAUGUAAAUGAACCACGUCAACCACGAAGGAACGACGAUAAAUCUCAAAGACGAACGACAUGGAGCGCGUUAAUAAAUGCUCCGUGUAUCGCAGCGGAUGCGAUUAAUAAAUAAGGCAAUUUUUGCGGCUGGAAAAAGGAGUUUUUCCGAGCGCGUCGAUCGAACUCCACCCACAAGAGGUGGGUUGCUUUCCUGCGCGAGGGGAUACUCCAUGAGAAAGGGGAGAGGACGAGGGUGAAAGCCGGCGGCAAAAAGGUCGACCGUCAAAAGCCAUAGUGCAUCCCCUUUAAGCCUGUGGAAGGACACGUGCAUGUGUGUGUCGCGUUCUCAAGAGAGCGCGAGGCUUAUAUUAUAAUAAUAAGAACACAAACAAUGGACGACUUUCGCUGAAAAAUCUCAACGAAAUAAAGAAAGAUGUGUGCGAAGAAUUUUCACGUGACUGACAUAACCCGUUAAUUCCGAAAUCCCUGCGCAAUGCUUUGACUCGCGAGUUAACUUAUUAAUAACUUAUUAAUAACUUAUUAAUAACAUCACAACGGAACGCUUGCAAUUUACGUUACAACAAACGAUGUUUCUCGAUCAAAAAAUAAGUCGAAAAAAUAAGUACGAAGUUUUUUCGUACAAAGCCAACUCCAAUUCCAUUGUAAAUGCUUAUACAGAUAUAAUUGCAGAGCUGUUCUUUGACGCAGUUUACAGGUGAAAGCAGUCUCGCUCGCGCGUGCAAUCUCACGUCGCUUUGCCGAUUAUCCUUUGUAACGUAUAAUGUAACGAGGCAAUGUAAUGUAACGUAUUACGAAAACGUAAUCAAAGCACGACAAACAUCGUAAUGCCCAUGUAACCCCGACGACCAUUUAAAUAAAACAACAUACAAUGCCGCGGAAACAACUCCGGUGCCUACUCGCGUUUGCUCGACGCUCGAUUAGUUAUUAUCGAUAUAAUAUGUAACGCUCGCAGUAUCGCGCGCACUUUCUCGACAUUGUAAUUAUAGCUGUCGAAAGCAAUUAUUCAACGCUAUUACGUUUGGUUAAUUAUUUCAAUGGUAAUAAUCCCGCGUCGCCCGUUACAAUUACGAUACAUCGGCUCUACUUGUGCUCCACGUUGCUGUGAUCAUUAUUUAUUACUAGAAUCAUGAUGAUAUAAUGUAGAAACGGGUUAAACUAUUGUUCGUUAAUCCACUCAGAGAGAGCUUCGUGACGGCGCAAGUGUUAUAGCGCUUAUCAGAUUUCUUAUUUCCUCUUAUCGCAUACUUGUGUUGAUACAUUUGCACACUAAUACAUUUGCAAUUUAUGGAAAUUUAUGUAUCUUUACGUAAUCCUCAUCGUGUUAUCGACGAGAACAAAAAGUCGGAUUCUCGGAGCCGCGACAAAUGUCUACAGCAUUUUCUCACAAUUAGAAAUGAAAUUUUUCCAUCGUCCAUACGUCUAUAGCAUGCCCCUUCGCGACGCAUAAAUAUGUAAUGAGGAUUAUCACGCGCUAACUGUCGUUCAAUUUGCAGCGUAGAGAUUACACAGCCCCGUCACAACCGCAAUGUUAUCGAUGCAACAUUGCCGCGAUAGCUAUAAUUAAUUACUCUCGUGAUUCGCCGUGGUCCGGGGCUCGCGUGCUAAAUAAUCCAAAUAUUACGACGCUUUACAACUGGCUAUGCUGUUUAGCCUAUUCGAGCGAGCGACGUUUCACGAGUCACGUUUGUCACCCGUAGCUUUCACAUGCUUGUUUCAUGCGAAACACCUCUCUCUCUCUCUCUCUCUCUCUCUCUCUCUCUUAAUUCCGCUUUGCAUAUCGACCUCCGACUUGCAUCGGAAAAAUUUCGAAAAUAAAUCGCACCUGGCAAACAACUGUCAAACCGUUAGAUAGAUUGCUUUCUUUCCAAGAGAGUAUUUCGCUUCCGAGUGAAAAACAAGAAAUGUCGUUCCGAAAAAGAAAGAGAGAGAGAGAAAAAAAAAAGAGAAAAAGAUGUAGUUGUUCAGAAUAAAAUUUUCAAAAUUUUAAGGCUUCCCCAUUAUAUUCGCGUAUGCCGCUCACUUUUUUCUAUUUACCUUGCAUGAAAUUAUAUCUCGUUCGCUCCGUUUGUAUUACCAUUGCAAUUUUUUACAUAAUGUGCUCCUAAAAAAAUAUUCUAACCGCUCGUGAAUUAAAAUUUUUCAUGAUUUUUCCUGACGCAUUUAUUAGAUUAUAGAUGAGCAGAAAAAUUCAAAUCCAACUUUUUUUUGUCGUCGUGACAGUAUUUCGAAAGCACGAUUUAUAUGCGCGUGAGUCGCAAUGUUUAUUCUCGCUGGUGAAUUACGAUAAGCGACACUCGAGCGUCACGAUAAGCCUGCCAUCAUCGCGAAUAUUGAUUGACAAUCGACGUGAGUUUAUAAUAAAUAAAUCGCGCCGGAUGAUUUAUAGCCACGCGUCCGGAAAGUCGACGGGAAAAGUCACGUAUGUGCACGGGGGUGCGCAUAUUUAUUGUCGGCUAGAAAUUAUACAAUCAUUGUACAGAAUGAAUUUGCAGUACGCUGAUAUUAAUACGAAUCGAUGCUAUGAUAUUAUGUUACAAUUAGUGACAUUUAUAAUUAGUAAAUGUUAUAGUAGCAAUGAAUAUAUAAACUCUAUUGUGUAUGUAUUCGCUACGUGUAUAUACGGGUAAAUAUAAACUAUAAAUUGACUUUGGUUCCAAUUUCUAUUUGCAGCGUUAAUUUCAUCAGUCACUGACAACGCGACUAUUCACUAUUCUCUAUUCGUUUCAUAGACUUUCCCUGUUAUCGAAACAUAUCUCGCGACGCUAUCACUGGACGCAAUCAGGAGGCAUCAGCCACGGUCAUUCCUGACGAUGGCGUUUCACCCUCGGAAAAUGUCCGUAACAAUCGUCCAACAUACUACUCGCCUCUGCAUUCGUCGUCCCGUCACGAAAGCCCAGAGUCCCAGAACAUUUCGUGCACCCUAUAUAACUACCCUCUACUGCCAUCAGAGUCGCCGCUCUGACCCAACCCCUCGGUAAUCCAGCUGGAAACACAUGGCGUCAUCGCGCUCGACCGGCAUAUGCAGCGAAUGCCUCGUACCUUCGAAUGAGAGUAAAAAUCAUCAAACUGAACCCAACGAGUCUAGAGCGCAUACGUACGUCAACGUUUGUACAUAUAUCCAUUACAUGCCACUGCACGUGAAAUGGAUGUCGACGUUAUCAAUUUUAUGAAAUGUUUCUACGAGGCAGAUGCCUUGCACAAUAACCUACAAUUAUCAAUUUAUCGAGCACCAAACACCGAGCACUGAUUGUGAAAUUUUCAAAUGCGAUAAGCGAUCGUGAGACGUUACGCACACGGAUCGAACUGAAAUCGAACAGGGAAAGUGCGUUGGUGCGAGGUUUAAAGGAACCUCGUUGCUUCAACUGAGGGUAGCUUUUUCGUUGGGCUCAUUAGGUCCCUGACCCUUCACGCUCGUGCUACGAGGAUUAGAUGGCCAUCGUGAUUACAAGCCCCUCUGCGGGUCGCUGCGUUUUAGCUGCGCCCAUAACGCUUCGUCAGCUCGUUGUAAACGCAAGAAUCCCUCUUUUCUGCCGGAUGUACUCUAGUGAUGAUGACUUUCCAAGGAAAUCCGACAAGACUCGAAGUUGAAAAUUUGUUAUCGCACGCGUACAGUACUCCUACAACGAGCCACGCAAAGUCUAGAAAAAUAUGAACAACUUUUGCCGUCUAGAUUAAGGUUUGAAAUGUCAAGUAUACAGCAUAUUGAUCUAGCCCGACACGGCGAUUUCAUCGUUCCCUCAUUCUUUUGGUUAUUAAUAUGAUCCUUUCGUAAUGUCGUUAAGUAAUCUUAUCGGAUUUUAUUUGUACGGAAGCAGAUAGCGACUUUGCGGACGACUCGACGUAACAACGAGUUUCGAGUCUCUGCCUAUAUUUGAUCGCGAUCGCGCUGAUAGAGUAAAAGUAAUGAGAUUUUUUAAAGUUUCUUUCGAUUUGUCCCCUCUCCCCCAUCCCUGUGCCGGCGUGAGUUUUAACAGAUACGAAGAUGAGAUCUUCGUCUUUGAACUUUCAGGGAAUGGUCAGGGACCGUUUGGAAAAGUGCUCUUCGCGCGUAUUAUGCGCCCGUCCUCUUUCGUUCUUCUGCCUACUCUCUCUUCUCAAUUUAAUCGAAGAAAAGUGAAGAGAUGCCCCAAGAUCCGCGUUCGAGACAAAUCCUUCCUGGAUGCUUUCAAAUAUCACCUCGAGGCAAUCGAAAUUGAAGCUGCAGGCUAAUGUUAAGAAGCAGAAUCAAUAUUAUCGCUAUGAUGAUAACGUUUGUUGCUUUGUUCAUUUGUCAUCCCGCUCUUUGUUCCAUGGGCAUUCUAUCGGCAUUAUUUAAUGCGUAAUGGAUCAACAAUCGAAGCAAUCUUACUCAAUCUAUCAAAUCGCAGACAAGUUUGAGACGUAUACACAACACGUAUCGGUCCAGGUGAAAUAUCUAGCUCUAUAUGACUGUAAGUGAGUAAUUAUACAUAUUUAAGUAAAACAUUUGCUCAAUAUUUUUCUAGCGAUAAGCAGUCAACUGAUACGGACCACCAGUUUUUUAGACAUAAAUUUUUUACUUGUCGACAGUAAGUAUUUCUGGUGCUCACGUUUUUACAAUUAUUAUAACCUGAUUAUAACCUGUGCCAUGUAUAAUGAUCAAGUUAAAACUUUUGUUAAAAGCAAAUUCAAUUCAAACUUCCCUGCUCCCUCUCUCUCUCUUUCUCAGAAAUAGUUGUAUCACUCGUAUAGACGAGUGCGAAGAUGAGGCAAGCCCGCAGAGAGGGGAAGCAAUUUCAAUCAAAUAUUCAAUACGCAUCCCCAAAAGUAUGAAUUGCAUGUUCGAAAUAGCUGAUAUGUAAAAGCCGGAUAUCAAUACCAUGUAAAACCGACGGAUAUUCAUCGGCGUUAGGCGUUGGAAAAGCACGUAUCUAUUCAAAAAGAUAUCUAGCUAUUCAUAGAAGCUCGCUGAAACGCAACUGUCUGCCUAAAAAACGAAUAAGGAUACCAGAGAGAAGCUAAAGUUAUUUAAUGGUAGACCAUAACCACCUUUUAUUAAGUAACAGAAAAUUUUUAAUAAUUAAUUAAGCCGCAAUUAGAUGCAAAAGCAAAUUAUGAGUACAAGAAUAACAGUGUUUCUAUUGUGUUAUAUAUGUAUAUACGUGAAAUACCCUAUGCACAUUAUGUAAUUGAAAAUAAAAUAACAAUUACGGAAGAUAAUGAAAAAAUAAUAGAAUCGGCAGCCGCGGACCGCUUAUGAUAUCGCAAAACUCGGUGCAGAGGCGAUAAAUCGUCCAUCUUUGCCCGUUUCGUAGUUUUGUAUUGACCAAACAAAAGACUGAUAUAUCGCGUGUAAGCGCGUUUACGAAGGAGAACAAAUGUCUGACUUUGUUUUCAAGGAAUCAGGAAUCGUUACGUGCGCGAAACAUACGCUUACGUACAUGUGCAAUUCUUUGCGAAUAUUUAUAACAUCGAGCCCGCGACCGAACAAUCGCGACGCAAUCUUGGACGUUUGAGUUUGAAUCAAGAAAAAGGAAUAUCGUCUCGAGAAAAGUGGCUGUGCGUGGCUACCUUCCCCCCUACCUAAUCGUGAAAAAGCAGAGAACUAUACGAAUCGUAACAAUCGUAAAGUCGUUUUAAAAUACUUUUUGCAAAGUUUUAUGCCCGUGUGUAAAACCAAACAACUCAUCACGAACAGACAAUAAACUGAAUCUCUAUGCAACAAAAACAAUCGUUAGUGGAAAUUUAACAAACUGCAAUCGUUCAGGACAAUGAAACUGCUAAGCGAGAUCCGAAUACGCGCGAGACGAUUAAAUCCAGAAAAAGCGAUACGGAUCGUGUGUCCAUGGAUAACUCGGAUCUCCAGUUCGACGUAACGAGUAUUUCCAAUUGUUUUUAACUCACUGUUCGAAUAUUCAAUCGUGCAGAAUCCGCGGUCUGCCUUGUAUAGGUAGAUAUCGACUCUACCGAGAUUCAAUAUCUCAAAAGCGAUCUCUCUCUCUCUCUCUCCUUGAAUUUUGCGCUUUUCACGACCGUAUAAGCUUUUGAAAAAUUCUCAAACACAUCCUUUUGCGCAACGUUAAGAAUCAUCGAGAAAUGCAGGUCGGCCUUUUUUGAAAAAUAUAAUUCUCGGGCUUUAUCGCGUGCUUCUACAAAUUUAAUGUCGUGCUUUGCUCCGCCGCUAUAUAUCAACAUUUAUAACUUUUACAUCUACAAACAUAUCCGAGCUACUAGCAAUUCCGAUAUAACACAGAUAUGUGGUUACACGUUUCAAUGCAAAGGCCGUGUUUUCAUAGAUAUCUCGCAAGUUAAAAAUUCAACAAAAUAAUGUUAUAAUAAAGGACACUUUCAAACAAUUGGAUCGAGAUAAGGCAAUUAUCUCGCAGUUUAAUGAACGCGAUGACAUUUUCGGAUUUCCUUGCUGGAGCGCAAUCGAUAAGGGCUAAUUAAUUUAUCAGCGCCGAUAGUGCGCGGCAUUUGCCUCAAUUUAACUCUGGUUUAACUUUGGUUAUCACGAAACACUCGUAUUCUCGGAACAGUAGAGAACCAAUUAAUCAGUUACCCGAUUUUGUCACUUGAGAUAUUCUCGCGUGUGGACUAAUAAAACUGCACUGAAUAAUAGUUUCCUCGAUAUUCUUCUCAUGAAAAUAAAAAAAGUAAUCGAAUCCUAUUGCAGUGGAAUAAUUUUUUCUGCUCUGAAAAACUGAAAUUAAUUAACAUCUCCAGCUUGGAUAUAAUGUUAUCUGAGAGGCACUCGAAAUGCUAGAGUAACGUCCGCGCACACGUCGGUUGCACGAACGAGCGCUAAGAGACCGAAAAGCAAACAUUCUCGGGAUCUGCUUCCAGCUCGAAUAUAUAUUCCUUUACUUCGAGUAGAAGCUGCUAUCCGCGAGUAUGCCCAUUAAUACUCGGGCUUUCAUAUUUCACUCAGCAAGUUCUAAACCGGCCAAAAUAUGCCCGAUGCGGAAACCUCCGGAGCACACGUAAAUCUCAAGUAUUUACGAAUCUCUUAGCGAUCGUCGCGACCGUAAUGGAUGUAUCUCUUUUCUCAUUGCAUUCUUACUUGAUGUACAGCAUAACGAUGCACAAACAGCACAAAGAUGCGUUUUUUAAAACAUUUAUCUGCUUCUGUUUCUUGAGUUGUGUCGUAUUCUUGUCAGCAGAAAUAUCCAUUCUUUUGUAAUAAGUAUCUUGUGCAAUUUUAUAAUGAGGCUAAAAUUACAAUUAAUGUAUGGAUUAUUUAACCGAAUAUUGAGAUACGCGAAGGUAGGCUAAGAUUGGUUGGGCAAAAAGUCGGAGUCUAUCAUCAUUGAUCAGCAAUUGACAAGCAGUGUCUCUGGACUAUCUUCUUGCGAAGCAUUUUUUCGAAUGGUUCUCUAAACACCAUUACCUACUAAAAAUAGUGGUUCGAGUCCUCUCUGACAAUCACGUAAAGAAAGGAUAUGGAAAGGAAAGCAAUCAUCACUUUGUUAUUACAGGGUUACUCAAACAUCCCUUUUCAUCGUCGGAAAAGUUAUUCCCAAAAUGCAGAUUGCUUUCAGUCAAUGGUGGAAAUUUCUUAUAUCGUGCAUGCGCCAUAAUUAUUCGUGAUUUUAUCUUUUGUUUCGCGUGAUUGAGCAUUUUCGUACGUUUCGAGAGAUUCUAGGAAAAAGAGAGGUACACGUCUUUGGAUCUUUUUAAUUCCAAAAGUGAGUCGCCACCCGGCCACCAGGACAGGCGACGGAAAGUUAAAUCGCGCCAACUUUUUAAUUGAAAUCGAAAAAGUUGGCGUUCAACUGAACUGAAAAGCAUCGGCGAAGAAAUAAAUGUCCCGUUACGGGUCGGCUUGUGCCGAGCUUUCUCGUUAAAUCUUACAAAGAUCGACCGCGAGUUACUCGUACUCGAUAAUAAUACGGUCUGAUUUUAAUAUGCAAUCUUCUUUUUCGGCGACGCAAUUGCUCUUCUUAAGGCUCUUUGAUCGUCUCUGGAACAAUAUGUUUUCCCGAUUUUCCAGAAUUUCCAGCAAAACUAACAGUCUCUCACAAGGCGUAGCGUUAAACAAACCAUCCGAAUUGUUUCAUCUCUGAUGUAAUAAUGCGACAUGUUUCUCAAGUAUCGCCGAUCCCAUACGACAGCCGAGAUUCCGGAGAAGAAAAGAGAAUGCAGGAAGAUGGAACGGUCGCUAGGUCAAAUAGGGAAAAACGAUAAGAAAAUUGUGCGAAAAAAGAAAAGCGGCUGGAGAAAGUAGCCAUUCGGGAAAAAUCAACUGGAAGAGAUAAAGCUGACGAAACAAAACGAUCAAAUCGGCGAUUUGUGAUAGUGCGAUUAUUAUUAUUUAUAUCGGGGUGAUAUUUACAAAAUUACGUAGUCCCGUGUGUGCUUCCCAUUUUAUUUUCUUUAAACUGCAUAUUUGUGAUUUUUCUCUUGAGAUUCUUCAAAUCGCGAAUUGCAUAACAAAUUGUAAACAAUUAACAGAAAAACUAGCCUCGUAUUUUCCAAAUGGUAAUUUAACGCAGAAAAAUACGGUGAUGUUUUCAUCUAUUAUCUGUGUAGAACAUAGUGUUUAGCGAAUUAAUCGAUAUGUUACCCGAAAAUACGAUUUAACAUGAUUUAUAUCCAGAUUUAUAUAAACACGAAUUAACAUACGUACGAGACUGGAGUAAGCGGGGUGCGCUUGGUCGGUGGAUUUCAUUUGCGCGAACAAAAGAGUAUUACGAUAAUCUAUAUAUACAAUAUAAUAUUACUGUCCGACGAAUAUUGGGAAUACAUGCCGCGUUUCGCUUUUUCUCCGCUCUUUGUACCCUUUAUUGAAGCAAUAAAAGAAUGGUUAUGUCGUAUAAAUAGAUAUAACGUCUACGUGCACGUGUGUGAGUGAGAUUAGGAACAGAGAUUCCUGCAGACGAGUAAAAAUGCAAUUACCGGUCCUCGAUCGCGCUGCCGAUCAGGGUCUCUUGUCUUCCCGGAGAAUUUAUGAUUUCGAAAGCUUCGCCUCGGGAAAUGGAAGAAAUAUUUUGUUUACCCAGUUUGCUCGCACGAGAAUGGCUUUUUUUCCCAAUGUUUCUUGACGGCCGCUGUAAUUUUAUUGGAAAUUUCAUCGCUUUCGCAGUUAAUAGCGCAAAAUACAUUCAAACAUACACAACAGCCUCCGAAAUGUCCUCUAUAUGAAUCGGAUAUGCGGCGUGCAUACCGUGUCCAGUGUUUUGACGGAUGCAUGUAUUAUGCAAACCAUCAAAUGGUAACGUAUUUAUCGGCAAUGUUAAUUGCGAUGAAAAAAAAAAUAUAUUAUAUAAUCGAAUAGUUGAACAAUCAUGUGCUCAUAACAAUGUUUCGAAACAAUUGAAACAAUGCCAAUUUAAUUAAGACGAAAUUAUACACAUGCAAAUUAUUGUAUAUCGACAAGAUCGCAGAAUGAGAAAGAACAAUAUUUCUAUUCAAAUAAAAGGAAUCGGCUUAAAAUCUGAUUUAAACUCCCUUUUCUAAAAAAUAUGCUCUUGACGCUUGACCGGGUAGUAGUAGUAGUAGAAGAAUUCAGGGUUAAAUGUAGCACUCACUUCCAAUUUCGUUAAAGAAAAUUGUACCUAUAUAUAAAGAUAAAAUUCUGUUUCCACCAAGAAGCCACGUUUGACGGAAAAGAUCUGUGUGUAAAACGAGUCUCAACGAAACAAGAUUGAAAGAUAAAUGAAAUCGACGUGUAGUCGAUGAAAAAUCACGAAGGUAAAAAUGCGCAAGGUGCGAUUCUGUCGAGAGUAAUCAGACCGAGAGCCAUCCACGCGCAAAGCAAAUUUCGUAAAGCAAAAGCUUCCGCUUUGCGUUCAAAACUGUCACGUCAAUUUAUCAGAAACAUGUCUUAUGGGAGUUUUAUUUCCUGGACGUACUCCUUGCAACUUUGGCCAUCUUACCCGAAUGUCGUUAGAGAUUCGUCCCGACGUGAUCUCGCGAGCUAGAAUAAAAUUCUAUUUACGAAAAGGGAAAGAAAAAAAACGCUGCUAUAAGAACCAUCGCUUCCACGGAGAUCGAUAUGGACGUCCUUUCGUCUGUUAAGCUUGCAAUCUUAUUUUCACUUGUGCUUUAUAUAGCACAAGAUGGGAGACUGUGAUAUCAGUCGGAAGUAUUUGGAGCCUCAGACCUUUCCAUCGUUGACCGAAAAUUCGAUUCGUCAAAAUCGAAACAAAAUCGGUAUUUUUCGUACAAAUGCGAAAACUUUUAUAAGCUUCCAUGAUGCCGCUUGUAAGUUACAAAAUGCAAAAUGUAAAAUGCAUUUUAUUCAAUUAUAAAAAAAUGUAUAAGUUUUUUAACUUUUACAUUUCUCUCAAUAAAAUUGUUUUAAUUCUCUCUGGCAAUAUAUUUGCUUUCAGUUUGCCUAAAUACGAUAAAGCGCGUUUUAAAUAAAAUUCGACAUUUCAGACAUUCUUUUGAUGGACCCUCCCCGCCUUAUUUCCAUGUAUUGCUGCAUGGGGCAAGGUAAAAUCGUUAUCAUCUUUUGUUUGGCGAUAAAAAUUGGCAAAUAUUUUGCGACGUCUGUCACGAGAAGAUUGAGAAUAAAGAGUCACGCUAUGGAGAGUAACGUGCUGCACAUCAAUCUCAGAUCUAUUCAUGACAAAGCUAAAUAUGCGUCGACGGUAAAAUUUUCGAAAAUUUUUCCUCGCGAAACGACUGUUAUUCAUGAAACGCCAAUAAUCGUAUUAAAUUAACGUGAUAAAAUAGCCGCAGCUUACGCAUUGCAUUUCGCAAUAAAGGAAACGGAGAUUGCUGGCCAGUUCAAGACACGUCACGUAUACGUGAAUAUCAAUGUCAGGCAUUUUACAUGUUUCGCGCGAUUCAAUUGUGUUCAAGACAUACGCUUGCAUGACAUUUUGCUAAUUAAAGUGUGCAUUAGAGAACUUCCCAUUCUGGAUGGCGAGAUCAAAACAGCGACAUCAUGUCUGAUUAAAUUUUCUGGAAACUCGGAAAUUUAGCAGAACUUUAAAAGUACAUUUUAAUUUUAUUUUGAGCCAAACUUCUUCAAAGAGAGAGAAAAACAAGUGGCAGCAUUUGAUUGUUUGCUAAUUACAGCUUCAAUUUCUCAAUGUCCGAUUUCCUCAUCUCUAAUUGACCGUUAAUCAUCUCAUAUACCUUUACCCAAACGAUAACUUUUCUCUCUUUCGAAAUCGAACGAUAUUUAAAUAGCAUUCGCGAUAAUAUACGAUAAUUAUGUGGAGAUAUAAUUAACUAACAAUAGAAUAACAACAGGAAAUAGAGUCGAUCGAUCUUGAGAAGGAAAACAAAGAAUUGUGAGUUGCACGAAGAAUCGAGUCCUCGUUAUACGUAUAUCUUUUGGACGCUCUGUGCGAAACCGUUGGAAAUUUUCGGAAAGCCCGUUACUUUAUGUUACGCGAAAACUUGUGGCGGAUGAAUCUCCUGGAUGCAACUGCACACUUGGAAAGAAGUACGUCAACGGUUGUCAAAUAUUCAAGAAAGACUCGAAAAAUCAAAGAUUGAUCGAGUAGAAACUCUUUUAUCACAUCGACACGUUCUCUUUUCCGCGAGAAAAUCUCAAUGGACAGCAUAAAGUAACAUUGUAACGUAUUAAUGCCAUAGAAUAUUUAUCAAUCCGAAACUCUACAAGUUUGCUAUACUUGUCAUUAAUAUAAAUCUCUUUCUGCGCAAGCUCUCUCAAAAAUGUAUAAAAAUCGUGUUUCUUCGACGCUAUUGCGCUAGUGAAAUACCUGCUGAAAUAGCGCGAGAUUAUUAGACCACAUCGUGAAAACACGGGCAGAUAGACCGAGAGAGAAUUUGGUUUGAUAUAGUCGACAGAGUUCUCCGAACUAUUGCAACGCCUCCUUAUUAUUAAUAACGUAUAGAGAUACUUCCUCGAGAGAACGAAAAUUCAUCUCGCGCUUAGAUAAGAGGGGAUGUACGAUUCGCGGGAAUCGGGGACGAGAUAGCGGCUCUCUUUCUCCUCUCUCUUCUCCUCUCCUUGCAGGUUUCAACUCUGCCCCGCCUGCUAAGGUAUACACCCCAUCCUAUCUACCCUAUCACGAUAUCUGUGUACCGCACAAAUACAACACACGAGCAGUAUGAAACCGGAACGUCCGCGUGCGAGAAUGCCUCAUGUAACUAAUCGCGAAACAUCCCUCCGAGAGAGUAGAGAUUCCCACAGCGUUACACGACGAAUAUUUACACGAGUGUUGGAAUCGUUACGAUGAUUACACUAUGAAUAGCAAUCAAUAAUUAUAAUUAUAAUAAGAGAGGCUAAUAUAAGGGGCUAAAAAGUAGAAGCGAUGAGAAUAAAAAGUCGAGACUGUCGAGAAUAAAAAGCUUUCUAAUAAUCUGCGAUUUAUUAUUGUUCUCUUGUAGCGAGAGAGAAAGAGAUAGAGAGAAGGCAGGCAACUACGUUAGCAAAUAGUGAAACUGCGAAAUGUAUUCAUGGUGCGUUCCGAGAUGCGCUUUAACGCGAGUACAUUCCGGCUGACAUACGUGGAAUUAUGCGCUGCAUUGUUACCAAGCAACAAGAGACAACUUCUCUUGAGAGCUCUUGAGUUGCGUGAGUGAAGAAACGCCAAGUACGUAAACCAUAAGGAACCGGCAUUCGACGGAACUGAGAAAAGCAAACAAACGUUUUCCGUGCCAAACGCGCAGAUGUUCACCAUUAAGUAUGUAAUGUAAGUUUUCUCGAGAAACAUUUUCAAUUCAACUAUACAUUUAUGGCAUCCUAUCACGGCCAUAUGUAUGAGAAAAAUUAUUUGGAAACUCGAUAUGGAACGAAUCGUUUAAAUGGCACAUUAAAUGAUAAAAGAUCUGUGAUAAUAAAUAUAAUAAAAUGGAGCAAAACUCGUUUCCUUAUUAAAAAAACGACAGUUUUACGGAAAUUUAUAAUCAGUUUGCAAAAGAGUGUGAGAAAUUCCAAAUGUGAACAAGUUAUGUUCGUUGUAGUGCAAAGAAUAUAAAAUGUGACAAAUUCAAAUUCGAGAGAGAGACAACGGCUUUCCGUCUUUCGAGUUUAUACAUGAUAUUCAUGUUUGAUUCCUCCGAUUAUAAAUUUUCUGAACAAGUCCCCGGGCAGAACCUCAUCUCGUCAAGAUCCGUAAAGAUAUAGAUUUACACACCGCUCUCGGAAAGUAACACUGAAAUUUCUCUGCGUUAUGAAGUGUCGCCGGCACUUUAUAUUGUUCGAGUUAAUAAAACAGAGAGACUGUAGAAUGACUUUUCUAUCCACCUCCGCCGCGCGAAUAAUAAAAAUUCCUCUCGUUGUGAAUCACGCGCGGUUUAACUGUAGUUUUAAUUGCGGAAAUUCUUUUCAGAGAUAUUUCGAAGCAGUUGCCUCGCGCUACGUUGGAUCCAACUUGCAUUACGCAACGUGGCGUUACAAAAUGAUUGCGUUAUAAACAUUGUUGCAGCAAAAUAGUUUGCCCGUACGGGGAGAUAUAUCAGUUUCUCCAACAGCCGUAAAAUUCACGACUAGAAUAUUGCGGAAAUAUCGUACAGAAAUAUUAUGCUCGUUCGCUACUCUGUUAUCGCUGUAUAAUGAAAUCAUAAUAUAACAGUUGCUGAAAUUAACAUAAAUUCGCAUCGGAGAUAAAUGUGAAUAUUUAUCGAACGCAAACAAAACGCAUCACGUUACAACGUGUGCCGAUUGUAACUGACGUAUUUACGCUAUGUCAAAAUAUCGAUUUCUGCGUUCCUUCUCCUCCUUCUGCUCCUCAUCGGCCAUCUCUAUUUACGGGACCAGGUAACUUUUGUCUAUGCAGUCAAACUCUCACUCGAAACAACAUCACGGAUUUAUUACGGAGAUAUUAUUGAGCGAUAUUCGCGUUCUCGCAACUCGUAUUCUAAUUCGUUUCUGUAGAAAAGUCAGCAAGUUAUUGUUGUAACUGCACAUCGCGCGCAAUAUAAAUAAUGCUACUAUCGUAUUACCGCGAGAUUGAAGCGUCACGAUAAGAUAAAGCGGAGCUGAGUUUACACUUUGGCCAAUUUAACAUUACAUCAAUUUUCUUCGAUUAUUAGUCAGUAAUGUCCAUAAACGAGAUUACGCACGCUCAUAAAAAUAACCAUUAUAAUGAAAUAUCAAUAGCGGUUAUAUUUAGCUCUUUGUAGUUUUCGAUAAAUUUAAACAGUAAUCCUCGACAAUCUGCAUAAUCCUCGUUCUCGCUCAAUUGCGUAUAAGCUACUUUAUCGUACGACUUGCCCUAUGCACAUUGCACAUACACAGAUGCCACAAUCGCAAUGCAUCGCAAUCCAGUUGGGAACAAAAUUGUCUCUUCUUGUUUUUUUAUUUCUGACGUUUAUCAGCGCUUGUUUCUCUAUGAAGCAGCUAUAAAAUUUCGAGCAAGGACCAACGUAGCUAUUUACUCAUUUGUCGAUUACCUGAGCUUGAAAAGAACAUUGUCAUCGUUCUGCAGCUACUUGCAUUUUUAAUACUUUAAGCGAGAUGGAUUUUUAUUUAUCACGUGAUUGCACCAUCAACACGAUUCAGGAAAAAAGUGUGAUUAAAAUAUGACAAAGUGACAAGGGUUCCGGAGAGUAUUUCGUCUACGGGAUGCACAACCCCGAUGCGGAAUGAUGUAAUUAGAAAUACAGAAACAAUGCGCGCUUUUGCCAUCGCCAUCCUAUGAAUGCCGCUUAAUCUCCGAUUCCAAUAAUUGCUCUGUGAUCGAAUAUUAUUAUAUUGCCUUAUAACCAUCGCUACCCGCUCAUGAAUUCACUCAAUUCUCCAUAUCUCCCUUUCUCUCUCUCUCUCUCUCUCUCUGCUUCUCAAUUUCUGUUUUAUUUUAAUAUAUUCUCAUGUUUUAAUCAUAAACACGACUACCGUAUGAUUAAUUUAUCAGUUUAUUUCAAUUGAUAAUAACGUAUCUUUUUUGAUUUCGGUAGUGUUUAAUUAAAUUACUGAUUCAAAGGGUGAAGCCAAUCGUUGAACAUUCUUGAUGGAUUAAAACCUUGAAAUCAUCGUAAUACUGUAUAUCGCACACGAAAUUUAGCCGUCACUUAUUAUACAUACAAUUAUAAGGGAUGAAGUGCACAGUACCUCGUACUGGAAACACAUAAUUGUACGUCGCGCGCGAUGACUGGCGACAAUAACGAAAUCGAUAGUACGUCGCGUUUCAAUAAAUUAAUGCCGCGCGCGUUGUACGUUCCCUACUAUAUUAAAACAACGCGCCGUUGCAGGUAUUUACAACGGGACACCAGUCUCCGAGUAAUUCUUCCUAAUUGCCAGGGCGGCGCAGUCUGGGAUUAAAAUGCACGCUGCGUGGCGGAGUAGUUAAUGCCGCGCGCGCGGCAUACACAUACAAACAUACGUGAAAAUAAAAGUUGCCUCCGCUCUCUUAGAUUUAUCGUCUUGAUAGAGUAAUUCGUGUGACAUAACAAGCACCGCGAUAUCCCGCUGAUAAAAUGAUAUAUCAAACUAAAAAAUACAACUUGAUAAAAAUUGACAUUUUUUCAGCUUUGAUGAGAAUUUCGAAAAAAAUGCAUAUUUAUGCUGGCUUUAUCACGUACAUUUAAUCAUUAUGUCAAAUUUCUUACGUUUUAUUAUUAUUAGAUGUUACUGUAUCAUUGUACAAUGUCUCAUACAAUAUAUUAUAAUUAAUUUAAUUAUUUAUAUAUUAAAGCCAAACUAUAUAUUCUACAAAACGAAAAACAAUGAGUCAACGGAGGGCGUACCCUCGUCAUCGUAAAUUAAAGUAAAAGGGCAAAUAGUGCAGUAGGACGCGCGGUAUUAAAGAGGCCAGAGUGUCGGAAGGGGAAUGAUUAAUCGUCGAGCAAUCUCUCCUACACGUUCGCAAAAAAAGAAAUAGGAAAACACGCAUAGGCGGAUACGAGACAACUGACGAUGUGACAUGUUUAUGAAAUGCAUCACAAAAUUUUGAUUUACGCCGUUUAUUCUCUAACUAAUACAUGUGACAUGAUUGUACGGCAUAAUUCCAUAUCACGGAUUUCGAAAAUGGGACAAUGUACGUACUCGACGGAGAAAUAAAAUUAUAUAUAAUUAUAUAUAAACAAAAUUAUAUAUCGUCAAGCCUCUCUGUACAUAAUUCUUUAUAUAAUUAUACAAUUCUUGCAAUCUGAUUUACGAAUCACACAAAUCACACAAACUCUUGAGAUCCAGAUAUUUCGGUGUAUUUUCUUAUCAAUAAAAAUUAUAUAUCAAUGAAGCUAAAGGUAUUGUCGUAUUUGCACACGCUUACUUUCAUGACACUUGCUCCAAUAGAGGAAAAUGCUAAGGAAAAUAUGUGAGAUGAUCUUUCAAUUGUUUUACAUCCAAUUAUCGAUGCAUCUAAAUGCUACUAAUACAUGCAAAAUUAAUGUAGGAAUAAGAAAUAACAAAUGAAAGAAGACGAGACAAACGUGCUACACACGUGCUACCGAUACUUUCCUCAUGUCCCUGUAUUAAUUCUAAGGACACAGUUUAAUAUUUGAAAAUGAAAUAAAUUUAAGUUUGAGUUUGAUGAGAGGCAAUUAAUCGACAAGCGCGAAUAUUGCUCUAUGCGUGUUCACGGAUGAGUGACAGAAGAAAUCGCGUCGCUGAGAAGUCGAUAUAUUCGAUGGAACGCAUUGUUCCAACGUGAACCGUACUUUACAUAUAUCCAUGAAUCCAUGAACAUGCCAGCCAAGAUCUCAUAUGCCGUAUGACGUCUCUAAUCGACAUUGGCAAACACAAAAGCACUAUAGUGUCCGUGGACCUAUCAAGGAAGAAGAUCUACCAAGAUAUUAUCUCGCAAGACAUCUCAAUGUGCAUAAUCAUCAAGAAGGAGCACGAACGAGUACGAGCUGCUCCGUCAUGAACAUCAUGAGGAAUAAGCUCACUAAGAUAUAGAUGAGAUCGUCAAUAUGCCUAAUUAACCCUUCGUGGUCACACUUCUAGAAAAUCACGUAAUGGUCACAUGGGGUUCAAUAGACCCCACCAACUUUAAAUGGUUGCCGUGUUUACACUAUUCAUUCAAUUUGAAUUACAAAAUUACAUAAUAAAUUUGAAAGCUUGUAUAAAAAGGAGAAAUAGGCUUUUUAUGCAAAUUUUAAUUGUAACAUAACUAAAAAAAUUCACGAAUUUAGAAAUCGUGAAAAACCGAGUUUUUCACUAAAAAAA